UCCCGGUUGGCCCGGGCGGUCUCGUCUGAAAAAUCCAACAGACGACAAGGGUUGCGCUCGUUGCGGGACUUAACCCAACAUCUCACGACACGAGCUGACGACGGCCAUGCAUCACCUGUCACCUGGUUCCCGAAGGCACAGUCCUGUUUCCAGGACCUUCCAGGGAUGUCAAGCCUUGGUAAGGUUCUUCGCGUAGCUUCGAAUUAAACCACAUGCUCCACCGCUUGUGCGGAGCCCCGUCAAUUCCUUUGAGUUUUAAGCUUGCGCUCGUACUCCCCAGGCGGGAUGCUUAUCGCGUUAGCUUCUCAGCCCAAGGGGUCGAUACCUCGAACUAAUAGCAUCCAUCGUUUACGGCGUGGACUAC
rnacentral:misc_RNA from 1 species